GACGAACGCUGGCGGCGUGCUUAACACAUGCAAGUCGAACGGAGUGGCGAACGGGUGAGUAACACGGGGGUGAUCUGCCUUGCACUUCGGGAUAAGCUUGGGAAACUGGGUCUAAUACCGGAUAGGGGAAGAUGAGCUCGGGGCCUAUCGGCUUGUUGGUGGGGUAAUGGCCUACCAAGACGUCGACGGGUAGCCGGCCUGAGAGGGGGUACGGCGCCAUUGGGACUGAGAGACGGCCCAGACGGCUACGGGCGGCAGCGGUGGGGAAUAUGGCACAAUGGGGGGAAGUCUGAUGCAGAGACUCCGCGGGGGGGAUGAAGGGUUGUGGGUUGAAAACUCCUUUCGACAGGGACGCGGUAUCUGUAUAAGAAGCACCGGCUAACUACGUGCCAGCAGCCGCGGUAAUAC
rnacentral:rRNA from 1 species